GCGGCGCGGCCGGGACUUUGGUUUUGACACCGACAAGGAGCUGCGCGGUGGCGCUGGUGCUAGGGACUGGACGGGGCUCUGCUGGAUCCCGCGCCCGAGUUGGGCGCAGGACUUUUUGCCUGGAUAAACGCAGCUACGGCGGCGCUGCAAGUCUUGGUACCGCCGCGGCGCCCAGAUUUCUCCGCCGCUGCCGCUGCCACCGGGCAGCCCAGCUCUGGAAGAGCGACGUUGAGAAUUUCUCCCGCAGAAACAGCAGGGGCGCGCAGCCCGGGGCGGCGUGGGAGGGGGCCGGCCCGGCCACUGACCUCUGCCCGCGCAGGCGCCGGGGCUGGAGGCAGGGGUCCCGCGCUGUCCCGGGCUGGGCUCGGGCUUCGGAGCUGCAGGUGGACGAAGGACAGACGCCCGGAGAGAGCGGCCGAGAGGUGGCCAAGUCAAAGGUACUUUUUGAAACUCUAAGCAUGAAAGAUUUGGUACUUGCCUUUGGUAACCGCUUUCGCCCCUGAAUCCUGCAUCUUGCAAUCUUCCCUGUGUGAGGUCUCUUGGGCUCCUCCCUGGUCAGAGAGUUCUGAGAAGGUGAGGCCUUCCUUGACUCCAGCUUCUGGCUCACCAUGGGGAGCACCCUCGGCUGCCACCGCUCCAUCCCCAGGGACCCCUCAGACCUGUCCCAUAGCCGCAAGUUCAGUGCGGCCUGCAACUUCAGCAACAUCCUGGUGAACCAGGAGCGGCUUAACAUCAACACGGCCACAGAGGAGGAGCUGAUGACCCUGCCUGGGGUGACACGUGUUGUGGCACGCAGCAUCGUGGAGUACCGUGAGUACAUAGGAGGCUUCAAGAAGGUGGAGGACCUGGCCCUGGUCAGCGGCGUGGGAGCCACCAAGCUGGAGCAGGUCAAGUUUGAGAUCUGUGUAAGCAGCAAGGGCAGCUCCGCGCAGCACUCUCCCAGCUCCCUGCGGCGGGACCUGCUGGCGGAGCAGCAACCUCACCACCUGGCCACCACCGUGCCCCUCACCCCACGUGUCAACAUCAACACAGCCACCCCGGCUCAGCUCAUGAGCGUGCGAGGCCUCACAGAGAAGAUGGCUCUCGGCAUCGUGGAUUACCGCCGGGAGCAUGGACCCUUUCGCAGUGUGGAGGACCUAGUGAGGAUGGACGGUAUCAAUGCUGCCUUCCUGGACAAGAUUAGGCACCAGGUGUUUGCCGAAAGGUCCAGGCCCCCAUCCACCCACACCAACGGGGGCCUGACCUUCACUGCCAAGCCUCACCCCAGCCCCACCUCACUGAGCCUGCAGAGUGAGGACCUGGACCUGCCUCCAGGGGGGCCCACGCAGAUCAUCUCCACUCGGCCAUCGGUGGAAGCCUUUGGAGGCACGAGAGAUGGGCGGCCUGUGCUGAGGCUGGCCACCUGGAACUUGCAGGGCUGCUCGGUGGAGAAGGCCAACAACCCAGGGGUGCGAGAGGUGGUGUGCAUGACACUCCUGGAAAACAGCAUCAAGCUUCUAGCUGUGCAAGAACUACUUGACAGAGAGGCCUUGGAAAAGUUUUGUAUGGAGCUCAACCAGCCGAUCCUUCCCAACAUCCGCAAGUGGAAGGGGCCCCGGGGAAGCUGGAAGGCCAUUGUUGCUGAGAAACCUUCAAGUCAGCUCCAGAAGGGUGUGGGGUACUCAGGCUUCCUGUGGGACUCCACAGCCGGGGUGGAGCUGAAAGACACCUUCUUUCAGGACAGCAUGCCGGGCAAUGGGCACGGAAAACCCACGCAUCCCAGCCCUUACCUCGCACACUUCAAGGUGGGAAGUAAUGACUUGACCCUUGUGAACCUUCACCUGGCAGCCUUGACACUCCCAGGGGCUGAGAAUCCAAGCAAGAAUCACAGUGAGGGCCUCCGCCUGGCCAGCUUCGCACAGACCCUGCAGGAGACCCUGAAAGGAGAAAAAGACGUGAUCGUUUUAGGGGAUUUUGGUCAAGGGCCAGAUAGCAGUGACUAUGAUAUCUUGAGGAAAGAAAGAUUCUACCACCUGAUCCCCACGCACACCUUCACCAACAUCAGCACCAAGAGUCCUCAAGGCUCCAAGUCUCUGGACAACAUCUGGAUCAGUAAAAGCUUAAAGAAGGUUUUCACAGGUCACUGGGCCGUAGUGAGAGAAGGUCUCACAAACCCUUGGAUUCCAGACAACUGGUCCUGGGGCGGAGUGGCUUCUGAACAUUGCCCCGUGCUAGCCGAAUUUUACACCGAAAAGGACUGGAACAAGAGGGAAGGCCCUCGGAAUGGCAACGGGGUCACCUUGGAGCGAAGUGAAGCCAACAUUAAGCAUGAGCGAUGAUGACACCCAAUCGAUGUCUCACCCUCAGGCUUAGGGGGACACAGGAAAGGAGUCAGCCCUGCUGGAUGGCAGCAUGAGGUAUGAGCCAUCAUCUGAAACGUUGCAAAAGGGCUGAACUCCUGGGUUUCCCAAAACAACAAGAAGACAUCGAGUGUCUCCACCCAAGUGAGUUGCGCAGGGGGCUGGGUCUAGAAUGUGCGGGCCUAGUUACCAGGGUUCCAAGUUCAGUUGGGCCUGAUUGUCAAGGAAGUGAGGUUACAUCCCCCCCUUCAGAUAAGACCUCCCCAAAGGCUUCUCUGGGCUUCUGAGUGCUCACCUCUCCCUCAUGCCACCUCCAUAACUGUAUACGGUGCCACCAACACAGCCUUUCCCACAGAACUCAGGGAAGCCCUGGGUGCAUCCUAGGCCCCAGCUUCGAGAACACAGAGCUGGGUUCACACGUGGUCUGUGACCCUGGACAAGACAUGGUGCCUCUCGGGCUCUGCCCAGUCUCCCCACCUGCACAAUGGAGAUCAUUCUAGGAUCUACUGCCUAGGGACUUCCUCAGGUGUACAUAAGAUUGUCGUUGUUAGAUGCCAUCAAGUCAAUAUUGACUCUAGCGACCACGCGUGACAGAGUAGAACUGCUCCAUAGGGUUUCUUGCCUGUAAUGUCUCACAGAAGCAGAUCUCCAGGUAUUUGUCUCAGGGAGCCACUGGGUGGAUUCUAACCAUCAACCUUGCAGUUAGCAGCUGAGCCCUUAAUUAUUUGCAUCACCAGCGUUCCAUGUAUGAAAGAUAAUACCCAUAAAACCCUUGUGGUGGCAACACAUGUAGCUCAUGCAUAAACUUAGAGUUGAGUUUCAAGAAGAGGUGGAAGCAACAUGGAAUACAACUCAAAAUAGGGCUGGUUUCUGGUGGUGUGACCUUGGCAAAGUCACUUCCCCUCUUGGGCUCAUUUCCCAGUCUGCGUUAAAUGAAAAUCAGACAUCGUCACCCUCUGGUAUAAAAUCCUCCAAUAACAUCCCAUUAUUUUCAGAAUCUGACCCAAGUGCCUUGUCUCAGACUAGGCAGCUUGCACCAUGGCUCCCAACAAUCCCACCUCCUAUUCUACAUAUCUUUGUAUAAUCCCCUCCCUCUGAGUGUGUACUGAACUCAGGGAUUUGCUUUUAAGGAAUAGGCUAGGGCAAAGUGGUCUUGGCUCUUUCUUACAUUCUCUCUCUGUCUCUCUGGGGAAGCAGCUGCAAUGUAUGACCUGCCCUAUGUGGAGGGCCACGUGGCAAAGACCCAAAAGAGACAAAAAAAAAAAAAAAGACAACAAAGAGUGACUGAGGCCUUAGUGCAGCAUCUCACCAAAACUCAGCCCUACCAAUAACACGAAGUGAGCUUGAAAGUAGAUCCUCCCCUAGCUGAGCCUCAGUUGAGACCACAGCCCAGUAUCCUGAGACACUUUGAGGCAGAGGAACCAGCUAAGCCACACCCAGAGUUCUGGUCCACAGAAGCAGUGAGAUCAUCCAUGUGUGUUGCUGUGAGCCACUAAGCUUUGGGGUCAUGUUGUCACAGAGCAGGAGAUAACUCCUCCAGGCAACCAGGCCCUGGGAUCUGGGUCUGCCCUCAUCCCUCCCUUCCCUCUCUCCUGCCAAGCUCCUUCCACCACGCUGGCCACUAUCUAACCUCGUCUCUGGACAAACUUACUGCUGCCUUCAAGUCUCUGCACCAGCUGUGCCUUCUCUGUGUCUUACUGUCCCCAGAUUUAUGCAGGGCUGGCUCCCUCUUGUCAUUCUGGUCGAAACAUCAUGGUUACCUCAGUGAGGCCUCUCGGACCCCCACCUAGUCACCCCCAGCCUUCCCUCACAACACCCUGUUUUAUUUUCACUGUAACAGUUGCUUUUUUCUUUUGUUCUUGUGCAUUUGUGCAUCUCCCCUCCAGACUGUGAGUUCCUGGGGGCAGGGACCACGUAGGCCAUUUUCAGCACUAAUCCAGGUCAUAAAAUGGCACAUGGCAUGAGUGCUUGAGGGGCACGGUUGCUGAAUGCAGAGAUGAGAGGAUCUUGGAUUCCCUUCCCACCUCUGAGCACCUCAGAUUGUGGAGAUGUAUACUAAUAAUAGGAGGUGCAAGUCCAAGGCAAGGGGAUGGCCAGAAUGGCCUCACGGUGACUGAUCCUGGCCCCAGUUGCUUUAGCAAAGCCAAGAGGGGCACUACUGGCAGAAGAGGCUGCCGCCCCCUUGUGGCCAACCCUAGCACUGCAGCCCCAGGGAGGAAACCUCGCCACACAACUCACAACUUUGUGGUGUCCUCAAGGCAGUAGCUCUCCCUGACCCCAGGAAGCAAAGCAGUAGAACCUAUAGGCUCCACAGGGGCUGUGAGGGACCUUGGAAAUCUCCUUUGCCCCCUCUUUGGCUCCACUGGCCCUGGGGUGUCCAGCUCAGUCGUGAGGCACACUCCCCACAGCCAGGGCCAAGACUCUGGGCCCACUUUCACAGGAGGGCUCCGAGACUCCAACAGGUCCUGACCUUAAACCUGGACUUGUGGUCCUAGUGCCCUGUGUUGUUCUGUGUGACCCCACGUCCCCAAUUCACCAGACCACAAAUGGCAGGGAAAGGACGACUCGUUGAGUCAUUUAUUGUUAUAGGCUCCUCUGUUAAGGAGCUAGUAGAGCGGAUGGGGCUGAGCUGGGGAGGCAAACCAGUCCCAGAGAAGGGGAUGAGCGCUGGCAGUGGGGAUGGAGAGAUGGGAGAGCAAGUGCCAAGGUGGGCCACACUGGUGGUGUCAUGUGUCAGGGGGACAUGGGUUGGGGACCUGGCCCUGCUCCUUACCAGUGGGGCAGCCCCACCCACGGCUUGUCCCUAAGCGUCACAAAAACUGGAGUCUCUUUCACCACUGUAUCCCAGGAACAUGGGUGUGGUAACAAUUGUCUCGGCUGACUCAUCUGUACAGUGGAAUAAUUUUAUCCACGUCAGGCAUUUCCUGACAUCGGGCUGUCAAACACCAAGCGGGCAGCCUGGCACACGUGAGUGGCUCAGUAGUCAUGGCGGCGUCAGCAGCCAUAGGCGGAUAGUGGCUUCUCACAGUCUUGUCCUGCACAUCAGAACGGAAUUUUGAGUGUUCCUGGAACUUGACCUUUGUUAGGUGUUAUGAAUUGUGUCCCCCCAAAAUGUGUGUCCACUUGGCUAGGCCAUGAUUCUCAGUACUGUGUGAUCGUCCAUUUUGUCAUCUGAUAUGAUUUUCCUACGGGAUGUAAAUCCUACCUCUAUCAUGUUAAUAAGGCAGGAUUAGAGGCAGUUAUGUUAAUGAGGCAGGACUCAGUCUACAAGAUUAGGUUCAAUCUUGAGUCAAUCUCUUUCGAAAUAUAAAAGAAAAAAGUGAGCAGAGAGACAGGGGGACCUCAUACCACCAGGAAAUAAGAGCCGGGAGGGAGUGCGCCCUUUGGACCCAGGGUCCCUGUGCUGAGAAACACCUAGACCAGGGGAAAAUUGAUGACAGGGACCUUCCCCCAGAACCAACAGAGAGAGAAAGGCUUCCGCUGGAGUUGGCACCCUGAAUUUGGACUUCUAGCCUUCUAGACUGUGAGAAAAUUAAUUUCUGUUUGUUAAAACCAUCUGCUUGUUGUAUUUCUGUAAGUUAUAGCAGCACUAGAUAACUAAGACAUUAGGUUAAAAAAAAAAGCAGGAAAAGGAACAGGUUUGGGGAGAAGAUGCUGCAUUGUUUUGGACCCGUUAAACUAGUGGCGCCUGUAGGACAAGUGUCCAGGCAGUUGGGAUCAGGCUGGAGAAACCUGCUCUUCCGGAGUCUUCCAUGCAGAGCACCUCCAUGGUCAGGCCUGCCUCCCAGGCCAAACUGUGAGCAUGUAGAGAAGCUGGGAGAAGGCUGGCCACUCAUGACUGCAUGCAUGUCACUGGGCUGCUGUAACAAAGUACCACAAACUGGCUGGCUUACCACAACAGAAGCAUAUUCUCUCACAGUUCUGGAGGCCAGAAGUUCGAAAUCAGGGUGUUAGCUGGGUCAUGAUCUCUCUGAAGGCUCUAGGGGAGAAUCUAUUGCAUGUCUUUCUCUUAGAUCCUGGUAGCUGCUGGCAAUCCUCAGGCUCUUUGGCUUAUAGCUGCAUCAGUGCAAUCUCUGCCUCCGUAGUCACAUGCUGUUGUCUCCCUGUGUCUCUGUGUAUCCCUUUCUUUAUAAGGACACCCAUCAUGGGAUUUAGGGCCCACCCUACUCUAUUAUGACUGCAUCUUAACUUGGUUAUGUCUGCAAAGACCCUAUUUCCAAACAAGGUGUCACAGGUACGGGGCUUAGGACUUGAGCAUUUUUGCAGGGGGAGACACAAUUCAGCCCACCACAAAGACGACAAUGAUUUAUUGAGGGCAGGAAUCCUGUUACAUUGUCAUCUUUGUAUUCCCAGAACUUGGCACAUCCUAGCAUUGGGGGAGUAAAUGGAUGAAUGAAUGAAGCUUGGGGUUAGGGAGGGAUGACAGGCAUGUAAGCAACAAGGAGACAAACGUUAAGUGGGCAGUGGCUGUGCUCACCCCUCCACGCCCCAAGGAAGGCAAGACAAGGGCGGUGGCUGUGGGAGGCCUGGGUGGUACAGGCCACGGGGCAAAGCUCCCCCAGCUCACCUCUGUUGGCCUCUGUCACCAGAGCAGAUCCUGACCAGAGGAAGGGGACAUGCAGAAUAGAGAAGGCCUUGGAGAUCACUAGGGUAGCCGGUUUCUCACCUCAAGGGUAUCCCCUCUCUGGUUCUUCCCCUCCACGGCUUGUACCCUCUACAGGUAUCUUCAAAUCUGAGCAGCAGGGCAAGUCAUCUUAGGUUUAUCCAGCCCCUCCAGAGGGGCCCCUGGGAUGGUCCCAGAGAGAGCUGGAGGCCCCAGUAAGUUUAGGGUUACUCACAAGAGGAUGUGAGGGCACCCCCUCGUGGCAAUAAGAGCCAUGGGCCCAGAUGCCUGUUCAAAUCCAUCUGGCACUUGGUGUGACUUUGGCCAAGUUACGUGGCCUUCCCUAAGUUGCACUCAGUUUUUUCAUCUGAAAAAUGGAGAUAUUUCUACCUACCUUGUAAUUCUUCCAUUGUGAUGAAUGAGAUGCUGGACGUUGGGGGCACAUGAAAACAAACAAAAAAAACAAACCUGUUGCUGUCCAGUCAAUUUCAACCCUAUAGGCAGAGUAGAACUACCCCAUAGGGUUUCCAAGGCUGUAAUCUUUACAGAAGCAGACUACCACAUCUUUGUCCUACUGAGCGGCUGACGGGUUUGAACCACCAACCUUUCGGUUAGCAGCUGAGCACUUAACCACUGUGCCAUGAGGGCUCUUUUUUUGGCACAUUGGCAAUAAAUAAUAGUCAUCGUCACCGUCAUCAUCAUCAUCUUCAGUAGUGGCCAAGCUUCUCUAGGGAGGACAACAUGAGUGGAGGGUGGAUAGAAGUGUUUGGGGAGUUCCCAGACCACACAGAGGUGGCAUCAGUGACAAGGGGGCCAGGCAGAAUGGCAUCGAGAAAUGACAAUAUGUGCCACAGGGAUGAGGGGUUACUUUCUAGAGAAGUGAUUUGCACAACGCCCCCGAGUUCUAGGUGUUACGCAGAGCACAAUGCCCAGUGGUAGCCAUGAUUCAGUGCCAGCCCUCAGCCAGGCACCCGUGUGUGUGCACCAACCACUGUGAACUUGAACUCAGACACCUGGGCCUGAUAGGGAGGGGGGGUACAGGGAGGUGGGCCACCACUGAAAAUCAGGCUGAGAGCGUAACAGUGCAGGCAACACUCACUGGCAUAUCUGAGGCCAUGGGCAGGGGUGACAGGAGACCCUGACUUUGAGGGUCAAACCACAUAAGGCAUCCUUCACUUGGAGCUUUCUAUUCUGGGUGAACCAUUUGGUAUCUGCGCAGCAGGCAGAGCUCCAAUCAAUAGUGCCUGAUGGAAGAUGCAAUCCCUAAGUGCCCUGCUGACUCCCACUGUGAUGAAUUAUUUAAUGAGUGUUUGUUGUUGGAGGCUGAGAACAUUAAGGACUCGAGUUUCAUUGUGACAAGGAGUACAGCUGGCCUUGGGAGAUGUCCGGUAAGAAGGGCUGUGGAAAACCAGUGGCCUUGACAAAGGAGAUGGAGCAAACGUGAAUGUGACAGCCCAGGAGGUGUGUCCUGUGGUGUCAGGCUUGGGAGGCUGAGGAGCAGAGGCUGACCCAGGAGCUUGCUCUUGCCCUAGGAGCUCACCCACUGUGAAAGCAGACAGAUGGCAGAGAGCCAGGGGUGGCCAGACUACCUGGUCACUGCAGUCCUGGGCUACAGGCACAGCCUGGGAAAACAAGGACAAGCUUCGAAGGCCAAGGUGAGGGACUAUUGGGGGCACCCUGGAGCCCACUGGCUUUUGCUUCCCAGGGGUGUCCUGUUGGUUUCCUCAUCCCUGUUGGAGUGGGGGCACGCUCUCUUUUCCCCCGAUGUGUAUGCCUAGGUGGCCGGGUCGGGCUUGGUAAAGUGGACUAUUCAGGUCCGUAAGGGUAGUAAAUUCAAAGGCCUGCGGAAGAGCAGCAGGAGGAGGGUGUUGCUUUGUCCCUGGGGGGCCUGUUGUGUGGAGAUGGUUCACUGGAGCCCUCCUUCCAGGUGGCCUGGACAGGAAGGAGAUGGGAAAGACAGAAAAGGCCCCAGAAGAGAUUUCCCACCUGCAUGUGUUUUCCUGAGUUUGGGGGUCAAUCACGUAAGGCACGCUUUGCUUGGUGCUCUUGUUCUGGGAGGUUCACUUGGCGUUGGCUUAGCAAGAGGAGCUCCGGUCAAUAGUGAGUGAUGGAAGACGAAAUCACCAUGCGUCCUGCUCACUUCCACUGUGAUGAAUUAUUUAAUUAAAUGAUUAUUGCAGGCAGAGGCAUUAAGGACUCAAGUUUUACUGUGAUAUGGGUGAGUGCAGUUGGCUGGAGUCCUGUGAUCGCAUUAGAACAGGCUUCUUCGGCCAAAGCCUGAGCACGCAGCCAGAGAAAGGCGUGGGGCUGCCUGGCCGAGGCCCACUGUGUGUUGUGUGGUAAUCUCUUUGCUGUGAGUUCUGAGACACCCUGAAGGGGCACUUCUUAGCAGAGAUUUCAGAGACGGCCUUAUUCCUGGGCAAAUCAGGCAACCAUCCCUGACCCAUGAUUUGAAGAAUCCUAAGAAUUUUCUGGGCUACAAAUCCAUACAGUCAGGAGACCCAUGGUCUCGGUCCAGCUUCACCAGCCUUGCUGGUGGUGGUGCGCAAGUUGUGAACUGCAUUUCCCAGCCCUCAGCCUCCCUACCAACCGAAAGGGUUGUAUGUGAGCUAUCAGGCAAGACGGAUUUGACUUUGGCAGUGGUUCUCUUUGUUGUACGGAAGAAUUGCCUGCAGAGGUUUCUGGCAUUUAGACCCCUAAACCCUAACCAGGAGUCUGAUUACAGACCACUGAUGAGGUAUGGCCUGUGGCCCAGCCGAGUCUGUGAUGGUGCUCCGAGGCUCACAUUUUAAGAAAUACUGAUGUAAAAGGGACUUAGAUUAAAAACAGAAUGUCUAGAAAUUUGGGUGAACCAACUAUGUCAUUGCUAGCUGCCAUGAGCCAACCCCUGACUGAGGGUGACCCUAUGCACAAUGGAACAGAACACUGCUCGGCCCUGCACCAUCCCCAUGAUCAGACCAUCUUGAGCCGUAAGGUUUUUGUUGGCUGAUUUUCAUUACAUCACCAAGCCUUUCUUCCUAGUCCAGCUUAGUUGGGAAGCUCUGCUGAAACCUGUUCAGCAUCACAGCAACAUGUAAGCCUCCACUGACAGAUGGCAGCUGUGCAUGAGGUGUACUGGCUGGGAACUGAACCUGGGUCUCCCGCGUGGAAGGCAAAAAGUCUACCACUAAACCACGGAUGCCCCCUGACCCUAUUAUAAAUAAUACUAAAGAGGGUAGAGGUGGGGGCAACUAAAGUGUCAAGAAGAAGUGUAGUUUACUUAGAAUUUAUGUGGCUUUCAAAAACUGAAAAAAAAAAAAAAAUACACACACACACAAGAAAAAAAACUGUGGCCGUUGAGUCAAUUCUGACUCAUAGGUAGAGGGAUUCUUUCAGCAGGAAUAUAGCUACGAAUCCUAUAUAAGGAACCAGCAGGGCAGCAGAACAAGUUGACAGAUAACAGCAGGAGAACCAUUGUUUCUCUGACUAUUUCGUUAAGAGCGUGAGCACUUGGCCUCCCCCUCCUAAUGGAGCUGACUGACAGCAAUCAACAGAGAGAACCUUUUCAUUACUGUUAUUACCACACACAAGACCACUUUCCAAAGACUGACGUAGAGUAAAUCCUUACUAUUUAUACAAUUGGUAAGCAACUGGGGUUCUAGGAAUUUUUUGGACUUGUCUUCUGAAUCUUUCGGAACAUCAUUCAUCCUCAUCAUUUACUUACUUGAGAAGUCCAAAUCAUCAGAAAAUUAUAUUUUUACAAGUCAGUUUUCUUAGAGAGGGGCCUCGUGGGCCAGCAGGCAGGAGCUGGCAGAUUGAGUAGUUUGGAUACCGAGGCCCUCGACACAGAGGAUGUGAGCUGCCAACUAAGCCCAGUGAGAUGCGUAGGAGGACCAGGAAGAGCAGAAGCACCAUGAGGUGCCUGCCUGUGCCUCUUCCUUCACCGCUGGAGGCUGUAAGGCAAGCGCCCUGAUUCUCAUCCUCAACAUACAGUAUGUUCAUGUUCUCACAGCCUAGAAUUAAACAAAUCCAGUUACACUGUCUAAUCACUAAACACCUCUUCAGAUGAUGACCUAAAGGCCUUAGGGACUCCAGUGUACAGGAGGUCUGUUUACCUGGGGAAGAGUAGGGGUGGGGUGAGGGAGAUAGGCCUGUGUGAUCUUCGCCUUUAUUGGAAGACAGCCGGAGGCUUAAAGGGUCUGAAGACUCCACUGUUACUAUCUUGGGCCUGGUGACAGGCCUAGAGACCCAAAGACGCCACAGAGCUGUUGUGUGUCAAAGCAAGUUAAGGCUUGAGAUUAGAAAUUGUGAAUUCCCUAGUCUUGCCUGAGAUCCACAAACAAUGGUGACCUCAGUUUGUAUGCUCUUGUUGGUUGUUAAGCUGAGAAAUAGCUCUUUGGUCAGAGGAUCUGGUCUCUUUCCCUAGUUAUCUCCCUUCUCUUCCAUUUCUCCAUGAAGGAAAACUAGUUUGAGAGAAAAGUCUGAGAUGAUUAUGUUGGGAAGCUGUGGUAAGAUAAAAUAGAAUCUGAAUUUCAAGUUGCUCCUGUGUCAUAGAUACUGCUUUUAUUUCAAAUGGGCCCACUGGAAUGUUAUUGAAGAUUUCUCAAGAUUGUAAAUUGUAAAUAUACAGAGAAUGUGUAUUGCUGCUCAGCCCAAAUCAUCUCAAAGAAUUUUAUGACAGACUUGUCAGUGAGAGAUUUAGGUUGGACCAAGAAAGAAACAGAUGCUGGAAUAGGCCUGAGGGAAGACAUCAGUAACUCCUUAGAGUUCUUUAAAAGUGAUAUACAGUCCCCUCCUACAGAUGUUACGUUUGCUUGAAAUCAGAGUUUAGGUUGGGAUUUAGCUCUAAGGGCCAACUAACCAGCAAGAUUAAAUAUUUAGAGGCCCUCCAGCUAAAAAUAAAAUGCUGAAAGGGUUAAGAGUGGAAGACAAGGAAAAAAUAAAGGAACUAGUGUUCCCUCUAGUGGACAGUUGUGGAAUGGCAUGCAAAUACAAUCAAGACCUUGGAUGCUGGUGCUUAGGCUACCUAAAGGUCCUUCAAGCUGUUCUCUGCUUGCUGAUAUCCAACUGCUGACUGUUGUUGUAUGCCGUGGAAUUGAUUCAGACUCACAGCAACCCUAUAGUAUAGAGUAGAAAUGCCCUAUGGGGUUUCCUAGGCUGAAAUCUUUAUGGGAGCAGAUUGCUAGGUCUCUUCUCUUGAGGAGUGGCUGGUGGGUUGGAGCUGCCAAUCUUUCCAUUAGCAGCUGAAGGCUUAACCAUUGCUAACUAGAGCACUCCAAAUAACUCGCCAUUGCUCCCAACCUAGACAGAAUUGGAUCUUUCAACAUGAACUGGUUACAAAAAAUAAUUACUGUAUUUCCUAAAUCCAGGAGGGUCCAUUUACCUGUAGGAUCCAAGCUACUUAUUUUCCUUGGAGAUACUCAGUAAUUAACUAGGAAAGCGCUUUAAAGUAAAAUGAACAAGUUAUUUUUAAAAGAGAAACACCAAUGUUCAUUGCAACACUAUUCACAGUAGCCAAAAGGUUGAAGCUGCCUAAAUGUCCAUCGGGAGAUGAAUGGAUAAACAAAAUGUGGUAUAUACACACAGUGGAAUAUUACUCAGCCAUAAACAGACAUGAAGUUCUGAUACAUGCCACAUAAUAUGGAUGAACCUUGAAAACAUUAUGCUGCAUGAAAUAAGCCACAAAGGGACAAAUAUUGUGUGAGUCCACCUACGUGAAAUGUCUAGGCCUGGCCAGUGGUUACCAGGGGCUGUGGGAGAGAGGGGAAGAGGGGAUUCCCUGCUUAGGGGACACUGAGCUUCUGCUGGGGGUGGUGGGAAAAUCUGGAAACAGAGUAAUGGUUGAAACCAUGAUAAACAUACUAGUGUCACUGAGUUGGUACAUGUGAAGGAUGCUGAAAAGGCAAAUGAUUCGUUACAUGUAUCUUAUCACAAUUAAAAAAAAAGCAAGAGACAAUAUCUGGUUUAUCUAAAUUUGAGAUGUUCAAACAUUAGGUCACUAAGAAUUAAUUGCAGUUAAGAACUGUGGUAUAUAUCGUGUCAGGAUUUUUUCAGGUUUUAUCUCAUUCCCAUUUUUAAAAAGUUAAUUACUUAUAGAGUUCCAGGAUCUCUUGAAACCAUCCCCCACUGAAACCUCACCCAUUCUUAAAGAUCUUCCAUAGCAAGCUGACAAGUUUUGGCAUUUCACAUCCUGGCAUCAGUUGCAAGGCAUCAGUCCCUUUAGAUACUGGGGUUAUAGUGAAUAAAAAUGGACAGAAUCAUAGCCAGCUGACAGGGCUUUCCUACACACAGACAGAAGUUUGAAUUCAGACCAGUUACUUGCCCCCGAUGGGAGCGGGCACCUGCGCUCUCCUCUGUCCCUGCUCAGUUGCUCACAUCUUCUUACUGGACAAAGCGUGGGCUCCUUUGGGCACCUGGUGGAGGUGUCAAGGCGUCGAUCUCCCUCCAGUGCCCUGAUAACUCAAGUAGCUGCUGUGGUGGCCAAGUCCUUCCCCUGGGCUAAAACUGUUGGGUCUCCAAACAAAGCGUACAAAGAGCAAUCCUAACAGUGAACACUGACCACUCCUGUGUCCUUUGCUUCAGACACCUGGGUGUGCCCACUGAUUACAGCAGGUGUUCUUUUGGACCUGCUGGCUUAAUGCUGCUUUUCUGGCAGCAUUUCUGGGUAUGGGACUGGCUAUGCUGUAACCUGCAGCUGUGACUCUCUGCCUCACUGGACUGCUAACAAUUCUUCUCUUCAUGGGAGGGUGUCGGGCACUCAGCACAGAUCCUGCUCCUCACGUUGGUUCUAUGUAAGUUUAUUCCAUGUAUAAACCAAACCCACUGCCUUUGGGUCAAUUCUGGUAGUGACCCCAUAGGACACAGCAUUGCCUAUAGGGUGUCCAAGACUAUAAUCUUUUCAGAAGCAGACUGCCGUUACCUUUCUCCCACAGAGUGUCUGAUGGGUUCGAACCACAGACCUUUUGGUUAGCGGCCGAGUGCUUAACCAUUGCGCCACCAGGGCUCCUUCCUGCAUGUAUAAAAACACCUGUUGUCAAUUCUGACUCAUCACGGCCCUAUGGGAGAGUUCUAGGAGCUUUCCCUAGCAGUCGAGUCCUUAACCACAGCAUCACCAGGGCUCCUUCUUGCACGUAUAAAGAACUAAACCAGACCUAUUCCCUUUGAGUCGAUUCCGACUCACAGUGACCCUAUAGGGGACUGAAAUUAAAACACAGUUGUCCCUUCCUCCUAGCCCUUCUUGCUACCUCCACAGGAGAGUAUCCGCUGAAUUAGGGGAAAGGUGGGGCAUGGCAAAUGUAGUAUUUCUCUAUAAAUAAGGACAUUAGAAGACAAACAUGACCAAUGACCCUUUAAGUAAUUACCACACAACAAAAAGCAAGAAACACACAACAAAAAUAUAAUUAAGAUUUCAAAGAACAGAAGUUCACGUGCAUAAUAAUCCACACUCUUUGAAAACCUUGGUGCUAUUUAUUAUUAUACCUACACACAAUUUAAAAUACCCAAAGAUAUAUAAAAGAAACCAUACAAAUUUUAAACACUUUUACAAAGAUGAAAAUACAAAGAAAUGAAAACUCAAUGGAGUUGAUAAUGAACACUCGACAGGGUCACUAUGAGUCAGAAUCGACUCGAUGCCAAUGGGUUUUCUCUGUUAGAAUAACAGUGGAGAAAAUGGAUAAAAUCAUCAUCAAAAAAAAAAAAAACAACCAAAACCAAACCUGUUGCCAUCAAGUUGAUUCCAACCCAUAGUGACCCUAUGCCUAAAGCAAAUAAAUAUUAUAAUUUAAGGUAAUAUGAUCUUCAACUAUUUGUCCUACAUACUGUGCUAUAAUUUUAUAUUUAUGAAAACUUUUACUUUAGGGAACAAAACUGACCAUGACACUCUUUCAGGAAAGAGAAUUUGAGAUGCAUGAUAUAAUGUGACGGGAAUUCAGUGAAGCUCCUAAAUAAACAUUAACCUCAUCUUUAGUCCCAGCUUUUCAAGCUUAGAGCUCUUUAAGUAUUUCUGCUAAUCUGAAACUAUUUUUGGUUCAUUGCUAACUUUUAAAAUAUCUUAAGACAAUCGAUGCAACUUAAAGUCUUUUUCUUCUGGUGAGAGGCCCAUGUUUUGUCUUUAAACCAAAGCAGUAAGGCAAGUAAACGUUUCCUUUUCCAAACCCGACAGAGAGGCUAUCCAUUUGUUUUAAAAUGCAGGGACUAGAACCACUGCAGUUAAUCCUACCAAUAGGAAGUUAAGGCUGCUGUGAUUUUCCUUUACAUACCAGAACAUUAGAUUAGCCUACAAAUGUUGAAUUUACAACCAUUUAGGCUUAAAUCACAGGACAUAAAUAUUGCCAUUUCCGUCUAUAUUUCAACUCGUUAAUAAAACAUUGUCUUCACAAUCAAUACUUGAAAACCUGGUAAUACCUUUUGAAGUUUUAAGAUAAAGUUAGAAAACACAACACAAGGCUGAAACGACACAACUGCUCCAAGGAAAGAAGCGCUGGAGGCCUCCAGAGUGGUUUUCUGGGUCUGCCUAGUGCUGGCGCUCUGCCCACGCCCUGCUCGCAGGUCUGCAGGACAGUCACAGGACAGGCAUGGGCCUCCCAGCGCUCUGGCGCCCAAAGGCCUGGCCCUCUAUGCCAACAGUGAGAUGUGUGGUUUUGCAAGAAUCCCUUGGUGCCAGUUAGCAUAUAUCCUAUUUGCUGCCACCUCCUUCAAGACAAGCCCUUCCAGAUAGGUGAAGGAGAGAAAUGACACAACCUAACCUGAAAAGGAUUUCCUAAAAUCAUUUUCUAGCAUGAGUGGACUAGGCUUUGCAGCUAUGUACCCGCUGAUGUUAGCACCAUAUUUUAGCCUGAAUUGAAGUAAAGAUAAACUCUCAGAGAGUUUUCAUACAAUUACAGUAGCAAUCUUGAAUGGGGUGUUAACAGCAAUAUUCUUUCUGAUCAUUUAAGUAAGCUGGCUGAAGAGCCAUUCACCCCCAAGUAUUACCAAGUAAUGUCACUAACGCUGGUCCUGUGAAAGGGCCGACAUGUACUUCCUUGUAACUUGGGGGAUGCAAGUGGAGUAAUGGCCCAUAGUGAGUCGUUACCGCUAGAAAUAUGUUCUGAGCCUUUUUUUUUUUUUUUGCUGUCCCUAACUCCAGUUAAAGAUAUCCAACAAGAACUGCAGAAUACACUCUGGAGGUCUGAAAGGAAACCAACCUAAGUAUCUAAUUCUACUUAGACAGUAACUUGGGCAUGAACCAAUAAAUUAUAAAGCGAGGUGUAUAAGCUUUUAGCAAGGGAAAUAAUAAGGCAAAACAAAACUCUCAUUUCUGAAAUUCAAACUGUGUCAUUACUGGGUUGAAGAAGUCAAAGGUUUUCAUAAAAUACAUUGAGCCAUUAUCACAAGGCCACCUUACCAAAUGGCAUUGCCCAGAAAUUCCGUUUUUCAGGGCAUGGUCAAGUUUUCUGUAGGCAAUGCCCAGUCAAUAUCCAGCUCUACAUUUAAACUAGAUCAGUCUAUCUGCCACCUGCUUAUUAGACAGUCCAUUUAAGAAAAAGGUGAGUGGGUUCCAACUAUUUUAAUAUGUAUAGCUAAACAUGUCUCAAACCUGUACUUAUCACUUAUAUAAAGGAACGGAGAAGGAAAGAACCUAAAAGUUGGUUGAACUUGAGGGGGCACGGGUUUCACCAAAUACAAAUGGAGUUUAGUUAAGAGAUAACCAGACAAAAUGUGGCAAUUCUCUUAACUAGUUCCUAGAAGUGGGCAAGGUGAAACAACAACGUGUAAAAUAAAAGACUUAAUGAAAACUUUUCAAAUUGCUGUCUCCCUUCCUUUAAAAUCACAUAUACCAGAGAUAAGAAAUCUUAGAUAUCGCGAACUUUUGGGGGCAAUAACAAAACUGAUUUUUCAAAGGAGAAUAAUUAUCAUUAUUUAUCAAAUAAAAUAUAACCUCGGGGUUUGAAAGAUACUGGGAUUCAGUCAGUCUCGAGUCGGAGCUGGUCUUGGUGCUCAUGGAGAAGUUUAUCACUCAAUUCAAUCAAGAGUCUUCAAAACGCUCAUCAGCAGGACUUUCCUCUGACUCUUAGGAUUCAGAAGAAAAUAGGCGUAACGUUCCCCUGCAGCCCAUAGAAAGAUUUUAGGGAAAUAGUUUAAGGUUUGUACUAAAAACCUACAAAUUCAGCUGAACACUACAAGCCAUUCUUCAAAAAACUCCAUAAACAAUCAUUCUUCUUUUAUAAAUCUGUGGGUGCUGACUGCACCUACCUCGUAAUAUACACGGAGACGUAGCUAUGUGCGCAAGAAUGCAAACUAAGCUAUAAGAUCUUGCAGUUCGCUGUCAGACAAUUCAUUAACUUCCAUGAUCUUCUCCAAGUGUUCCAUGUAUCGGCCAUGGUCCUGCAGGAAGUGAGGGACCCUCAUGUUCUCAGUAACUGCCAGUCCUUUUAAGCGAUCCACAUCUUCAUAAGAAACCUAAAAAAAGAAAAGGAAGAUGGGUUAAUUUUAAAACUUAACUACAAGGUACAUUUUGAAGAGGAAUCUCUCCCAUGGAUCUUAAAUGAAAUUUUAAAUACACAGACUGUUUGCCAAAUUACUUUAAUAUAUGCAAAAAUAACCAAAAUCAGUGGCUUACUUUCUUUACUAUUUUAAAUAAGGAUGUAUUUACUGCCCCCUCAUAACCUGACCAUAUAAAAAAGGAUCAAAAGUCAACAUCUGAUUUAAUACCCUAUCUUAUACCUACUCUGGCUGGAAAUUAUACAACUAAACUUAAUAUAUACGCAAGUGUAAUAGGGAGAAUCUAAACAAAUCUCCCGACUAAAUCUAAAUAAAAUCAAGAAAACAGACAGGCUGUAAAUACCAUAUUAUCAAGCUAGGAAAAUCAGCACAAUUAUAUAUUGGAUUCCUCUUUCUAUUUCAUUUGGGAAAUAUAAUGAUUUGUUUUAAAUUCUUUUGCUUUUAUUUUGAAUUUUUGUGUUUUUUUUUUUCUGUUUUGUUUUGUUUUUUUUAAAUUUUACAUCUCUUUCAUUCUCCUGUGUAAGAAGCCAGUCUUUCAUAGGUAUUUAUACGAGCUUUAGUGAUGGAACGUUUUAGAAGUUCUAUAAAUUAUCUUUGCAUCUUUAAAUUCCAAAACAUGGUUGAGUUUAAAUAUUCUCAUUGUCUUCUAAUUAGUAUUCUUCCUGGUACAGAGGAAGGCUUAAGAACAAGAACAUAAAUCAUGUUUGCAUUAUAUCUGUAUUUUUUGAGGUAGUAGGCAAUGUUGUUGUUGCUGUUAGUUGCCACCGAAUCAGCUCUGACUCGUGGUGACCUUAUAUGAAUCAGCUCUGACUCGUGGUGACCUUAUAUAACAGAACAAAACACCAGCCGGUUCUGGGCCCCCUUCACGAUCACUAGUGUAUCCGAGUCCGCUGUUGUGGCUACUGUGCCCGUCCAUGUCGAUGAGAGUUCUCCUCGAUCCUCCACCGUACCAAACAUCUGCUGAUAUUGGUAUGCUUUAGUAAUUCUUAAACCAUUGUGAGUUUAUUAUAGGAGAGAAUGAGUAAAUAUAUUGAUAUUUUUGGGAAACAAGGUUCUCAUUUUAGGAGAAGGGAGAUACAAAUAUGGAAUGGGAUAGGACGUGUGAAAGAACCUUGUGGUGCUAGAUUUCAGCUGAAAUGCCUGUUCGAUUUAAAACAAAUAUAUAUGGUUUGCUCAUUGAAACAGUCUAGAAGCAACGGCAUAGGGUAGUAACAAGCAUUCCUAGUGCUCAGAUCUUGUUUUGUAAAUACCAUUUACCACUAAAAAGAAUCAAAGAUUCCUGGAGAAAUGAUUGAUCUCAGAUUUGGGUAGGAAAAGUAUAAGCCCCAAACAUUUUAGUAUACCAGAAAACAUGGAGAAGUGUUUAAAAUAAAAAAAUAAAGGAGCAGGCGUUAAGGAUUGAAUAAAAAAGAAUAAAUGCAUAAUACUACUACAAAUAGGGGAAAGGGGAGUGACAGAAGAAUUGGAAAAUCUCUGUUUUGGUACCAUUAGAGUAAUACUUGGGGACCUGGUGGCUCAAUGGUUAAGAGCUCAGGCUGCUAACCAAAAGGUCGGCAGUUCGAACCCACCAGCCACUCCUUAGAAGCCCUAUGGGGCAUACUACUCUGUCCUAUAGGGUCACUAUGAUUCGGAAUUGACUCGACGGCAAGGGGGUUUAGUGUAAUAUUUGAUUCAGGCAGAGAUCAUGAAUGGAUGUUAAAAGCACUUCUUGACAGGUUGUUGGGGAACGGCGCAUUCAAAGGUUUAUCACCCCACAGAUUACUCAUUAAUGUGGUGGGGGAAAGGUACCUUUACAAUGGAGAGAUCUGGCAGUUACUAACUUAAACAGGUGUUCAAACACAGCAUCACCAAUAAUGGGACAAAAUGACAUUAUACGCCUUCUAAUGUGAUGCAACAGAAAAUAGACAACGUAACUUAUAUAGUAUUCUUGCAGAAAAUGUUUAACCUGAAUCUAAUCAUGAGAAACAAUCUGAUAAUCUAACAAUCCAGAUUCUAGGAAUUCUCAAGAAUACUGUCCUGGACUAUUUAAAGUGUCAUGAAAAAAGUAAAGUAGACUGGAUCUUAGAUGGAAACCCUGGCGGUAUAGCGGUUAAGUGCUCUGGCUACUAACCGAAAGGUCAGCAGUUUGAAUCCACCCGGCGCUCCUUAGAAACUGUAUGAGGCAGUUCUACUCUGUCCUAUAGGAUCACUCUGAGUUGGAAUUGACUUGAUGGGUUGUUUUUUUUUUUUUUUUGGUAUCUUAGAUAUUAUUUUAAAUUACUGAUUAAUUUCUUAAAUAAGAAAAUGGUAUUAAGGUCAUGUCAGAAAAUGUCCUUGUUCUCAGCAGAUACAUGAAGUAUUUAGGGAUGAAAUCUUAGGUCUAUGGCUUACUUUAGAAUACUCUCAAAAAAGACGUGUGUAAAAAUAAAAACAUAUAUUCCCAAAUGUCUUAUUCCCGUCUUUAUCUUUUAUUGGCCACAAAGAAAUUUUGCAACUAUCUUUGUUCCCUCCUAUCACACAAAGGACACUUACUCUGACAAUAAACUAAAAACAGUUUGACCCUGAGUCUUAUUUAACCAUGAAGUCAAGCUGGAGACCAGGCUGACCUUGUGUGUUUGGGGACUACGUGUUGGUUUUGCUCACCUUUCCCAGGGUGGUCAGCAGGUGAAAGUCAAUGGUCUCUCUGUAUCGCAGGAUUUGAAGGAUUCCAUCCAAGUACACCUGGUCUUUACUGAAACACCCUGGAGGAACCAGAACACUGUUUACUUUCUGAUGUUUAAGCAAAACACUAAGUAAUUAAGCACUAAUGUAUUCCCUUUACAGGAACCAGUCCUGUAUACAAAUUCUAAUUUGCCACAAGUGUAUUUUUAUUUAACUAUCUUCCUAACAAAAAAUGUAAGGUCUUGGGAGGAGCCAUGAUACACAGACUAGUAGCUUCUCUACUCCCAGCCCCCCAUCUCAGUAACUAAAAUAACAUUUUUUCCAUAAAGAAUGACUAGGAAUUUAAAACAUACGACUUUUAUAAAUGAUUAUCCCAACCCCCCAACUCCCAGCCAUCAAAUCAUAACUAUAACGCACAUCCUGCAAUGAAGGCAUCUGGUUGGGGAGGGCUGGGAGCUGGUGGAACUUCAGAGCAGUGGGUCUACAAGGGGGCAGUGUGGAGACAUUCGAUUUACAUCAGGAACGGCUGUGGGGUAUUUGGCUGCGGGGUAUUUUCCGGUUAUACCCCUCCUCCCAUUAAAAAAUGACUAAGGUUUGAAACCACUCUCUUGGUGAUUCUAUUUCUCCCUAUGAAAACAAGAAUCAGAAUUCGAUUUUAAAGCAUUUGAUUUAAAGAAUAUGCAGGUCUAAAAAUAUAAAAACUGUGGAUAGAAAUAAAAAAACAUGGCUAAAGAAGACAUGAAAAGUAGGAACAGCUCAAGAUCUGAGCAGAGUUAGAAGAGAAUGUUCUGCUUACAAAGAAAACUUUUCUCCCAUCCUGACGAAGCUUGAGUUUUUUAAAAAUUUUGCUCUAUUAAAUGGACUAAAAUUCUACCCACAAGGAGAUUCAUAGACUCGGGAAUUAUUAUUAAUUGUGUUAGAAUUGAUAACGGCAUGGGGAUUCUGCAAAAAAAAAAAAAAAAAAAAAAAGCUGUUCUCAUCAGAGAUGUACACUGAAGUAUUCAUGGGUAAGAGGAUAAGACAUCUGGAGUUCACUCUAAAAUACCAUAGGAAAACAGGAAGCUGAGAGAAUAGCUGAAUCACAAUUAGAAAGUGUUGAUCAUUGUUGACACAGGGUAAUGUAUUAAUGAGCAUUCAGCAUAUCAACUGUUCUACUGUGUAUGUUUGGAAAUUUCCAUAAUAAAAAGCUUUUUUAAAAAGUAUGUGAAGAAAAUAGACUAGACUUAAAAAAAAAAAAAGUAAAGUCCCUCCUCCA